rnacentral:rRNA from 1 species
AGUGAACGCUGGCGGCGUGCCUAACACAUGCAAGUCGAAGGCAGUGGCGCACGGGUGAGUAAUAUAUAGCUAACCUGCCCCUUGCUGGAGGACCACAGAUAGAAAUGUCUGCUCAUACUCCAUAGCAAGGGAUGAGGCUAUAUCGUAUCAGCUAGUCGGUGGGGUAACGGCCUACCGAGGGUAUGACGCGUAACUGGUCUGAGAGGAUGAGCAGUAACAUUGGAACUGAGACACGGGCCAAAAUCCUUCGGGAAGGGGCAGUAGGUAAUAUUGCGCAAUGGGCGAAACCCUGACGGGGCAACGGGGCGUGGAGGAUUUCACUUAGCGGGGAAUAAACUCGUUUUGAUAGGGAAGCGGUACCUAACGAAUAAGCACCGGCUAACUCCGUGCCAGCAGCCGCGGUAAUUC